rnacentral:rRNA from 1 species
ACGCUGGCGGCGUGCCUAAUACAUGCAAGUAGAACGCUGAAGAGAGGAGCUUGCUCUUCUUGGAUGAGUUGCGAACGGGUGAGUAACGCGUAGGUAACCUGCCUCUUAGCGGGGGAUAACUAUUGGAAACGAUAGCUAAUACCGCAUAAAAGUCGAUAUCGCAUGAUAUUGAUUUGAAAGGUGCAAUUGCAUCACUAAGAGAUGGACCUGCGUUGUAUUAGCUAGUUGGUGAGGUAACGGCUCACCAAGGCGACGAUACAUAGCCGACCUGAGAGGGUGAUCGGCCACACUGGGACUGAGACACGGCCCAGACUCCUACGGGAGGCAGCAGUAGGGAAUCUUUGGCAAUGGACGGAAGUCUGACCGAGCAACGCCGCGUGAGUGAAGAAGGUUUUCGGAUCGUAAAGCCCUGUUGUAAGAGAAGAACGAGUGUGAGAGUGGAAAGUUCACACUGUGACGGUAACUUACCAGAAAGGGACGGCUAACUACGUGCCAGCAGCCGCGGUAAUACGUAGGUCCCGAGCGUUAUCCGGAUUUAUUGGGCGUAAAGCGAGCGCAGGCGGUUAGAUAAGUCUGAAGUUAAAGGCUGUGGCUUAACCAUAGUACGCUUUGGAAACUGUUUAACUUGAGUGCAGAAGGGGAGAGUGGAAUUCCAUGUGUAGCGGUGAAAUGCGUAGAUAUAUGGAGGAACACCGGUGGCGAAAGCGGCUCUCUGGUCUGUAACUGACGCUGAGGCUCGAAAGCGUGGGGAGCAAACAGGAUUAGAUACCCUGGUAGUCCACGCCGUAAACGAUGAGUGCUAGGUGUUGGGUCCUUUCCGGGACUCAGUGCCGCAGCUAACGCAUUAAGCACUCCGCCUGGGGAGUACGACCGCAAGGUUGAAACUCAAAGGAAUUGACGGGGGCCCGCA